GGCCAAAAUUUGAAAUAGAGUGGAUUAGGAAGAUCAUCUGACCCUACUAAACUACACUACUUCAAGUUUGUGCCC
rfam:Haemonchus contortus, ISE/inbred ISE, WGS project CAVP01000000 data, contig: Hcontortus_38082